AAACUCCUGAUUGUGUAGGUACCCCUUCUGGCAAUGUUGGAAGAGUAUAAUGCAUUAAGGCAAGAAAAGGAAGUCGAGAAGCAUAAGCAAAAGUUUCUCUUGCUGGAAAAGAAAAAGGUCCAGCGUCUACAGACCCAGGUGAUAGUUGAGCAAGAGAAUUCAACUGGAGCCAGGCCAGGCACUAGCAGUAGACGCAUUUCAAACAAAAGCUUUAAUGGGAGUUUUGGCCAGUUUAGCCCAGUGAACAGAAGGUUCUCACCAAGUAUCCAACAACUAGAACCAAACAGUAUCAGUUCAUCCAUUCAAGGAAUAUCCUUCAUAAAAGAACGGAAAAAAAGACCUGGUCAAAAGAGGUUAUCAGGGCCUCACCUUUCUUCACAUUUUAGAGAUGAAACAGCUUCAGUAGUAUCUACUUGUUCAGGUCCUAUAUCCCCUUGAAUCUUCAGUCGAGGAUUUUCUAGUUGAGUUCAGAUAAAAUAAGUUUAGAACAGGUUGAAUUUCCACGUGUGAAUGAAUUCAGUCGGAAGUGCAAAAGAUAAAUUCAGUUUUUGUGUUUGCUUGAAUUUUUCUUUUUUUGUCCAUAGUUUUUCUAUUUGAGAUAUUUAUGUAUUUAAUUGCAUGCACUCCUUGUAUGGCUUUACCCAAAGUUUCAACAAAUGUCAUCCUUCUCUUUUUUCCCA